rnacentral:tRNA from 1 species
GAGGGUAUAGCUCAGUGGUAGAAUUGGUGCUUAGCAUGCGUGAGGUCCUGGGUUCGAUCCCCAGUACCUCCA